rnacentral:piRNA from 1 species
UAACAAUGGAUCCUUGGGAAGUCGAACUU